rnacentral:lncRNA from 10 species
GGCUUUUUCCAGCUAAAUUAAAGUAAAUAAAUCUUUUUUUUUUCCCAAAAUAGGAUCAUGGCCUAUAAAAUGCUUCAAGUAGUCCUGUGCUCAACAUUGCUUAUCGGAGCAUUGGGAGCGCCAUUUUUGUUGGAAGACCCUGCAAACCAGUUCCUACGUCUCAAAAGACAUGUAAAUUUGCAGGAUUACUGGGACCCAGAUCACAGUUCAGAUGUGUGGGUAAACACACUGGCUAAGCAGGCUCGUGAAACAUGGAUUGCUUUGAAAACAACAGCACAGUAUUAUUUGGAUAUGAAUACCUUCACCUUUGACAUGUCUACUGCCCAGUAAAUAUGUUUUCCUGGUUAAAGCAGGAGGAUGAAGAUGGCAGAGGUUGGAAUGGCAUUGUGCCAAAACCAUGGGUUUUAGAGAUCUGAGGGUAUAUCCAUGCUGUUUACUACAUUAUUUAUUAUGUCUGUCUCAAAGUUGUUGAAAACAGUAGUUAUGAAAACCCAUGUAGGAAACUGGAAUAAGACAUUCUCAAUAAAUGGUAGUUCUCAAAAAAAGAACUAAAAAAAAAAAAGGCUGUAGUAAUAACAUUUACCAAAACGAUGGCAUUUAUGGGAAAAGGAAAGCAAAAACAUAAACAAAGAAAAGUAGUUUCAUUAAACCACUCUGUUCAUAGCUUUUACUCUCUAUUGCCUCUUCUUUGAGAGAGUUUUUUAAUUCAAAGAAGGACAGGGAGCUCUCAAAUGGAGCUGAUCCUCUUCUCUCUUCUUCAGUGCUUGUCGCAUUCUUAAGUCAGUCGAUUUUAAAACCAUGACUUUGAAACGUUUUUCAUCAAAGGUGUACUGCUGAGUGGAGAAUACAGCCUUACCUUAAUACAACAAGUAGAUAGUGGCUAGGAACUCAAUGGAAGUCAUUCACUUGUAAGUGCAAACUUCUUCCAAGUUUUGUAAAAUUUUUGUAAGCUUUGCAUUCUGUUCCACAAUUUAUUGAUGUUUGUUUUAAUGUGAAAUAACAGUUUUGACUCACUGGCCAGGCACAUUUUAUAAUUUUUUCAAUUAAAACUGAAAAAUUGGCCAUAGGGAAAAGUGGACUGCAUUUAUCCUAUAACUUUCCUAAUAUUCAUGGAUUACCACCUCAGUUUGAGAAGCAUUGAGAUGAUACAACUAAUUGCCAAGAUUGCCCCCCAAAAUCACAGGUAAAUGGAAUUUUUGUCUUCAGAAGUCUAUUUAUCUCCAUUCUCUAUUCUCUAUUUUAGUUGUUCUCUCGAACAAUUUAUUUUUACCUUUUAAGGUAAAUGGAAACAUUUCCCUAAGACCUUAGUUGAUCUUAUGUGGUCUUAAAACAAUCUUAAGCACUUUUUGAGUGGCAAGUAAAUCAGAAAAACCAAAUGCCAAGAAGUUGACUGGAAGGACUUUGGCCUCAGCAAUUUCUUCUCCAAAAGGACACUGACAGCUGCUCAGUGUUUCACAUUUCCCAUCCUAUGGCCUAGAGGUGUUUUCAGUGAGAAAUUUAAGGCUAAUUUAUAACUUAUUAAGUUAACUGCUAUCCAUUUCCAAUAAAUAUGAACAUAGAUUUUUAAAUUACAUCUGAACAAACAAAACAAAGAUGAU